GGGGGCUACUAAUAUGGGUGGGGGUAGGUAGAAAAAUUAUUGGAAGGGGUUAGAGGAGUACUAAUAUGAAUGGAAGAGGUAGGUGGGGUUCUUUUGUGCAUGGAAGGGGUAGGGGUGGUUCUAAUAUUCAUGUAAAGGAUAGGUGGGGUUCUAAUAUAAAUGGAAGGGGUAGAGACGGGUAGUAAAAUGUAAGGAAUGCUUUUCUGACAGUGUCACUGAAUGACAGGAAAUGUGGUCACACUAAGACAGGGGCAGCAUUACACAAUCUGUGUAUGUAUAAAAAAAAAAAUAUAUAAAAAGUAAUCUGCAAAGUACAAA